CUCUAUGGCCAUGCCACCCUGAACAAGCCCGAUCCCAUCUGAUCUCAGAAGCUAAGCAGGGUCAGGCCUGGUUAGUACUUGGAUGGGAGACCACCUAGGAAGACCAGGUGCUGUAGAUG
rnacentral:rRNA from 1 species